AUGAACGCUGGCGGCGUGCCUAAUACAUGCAAGUCGAGCGAACAGACGAGGAGCUUGCUCCUCUGACGUUAGCGGCGGCCGGGUGAGUAACACGUGGAUAACCUACCUAUAAGCCUGGGAUAACUUCGGGAAACCGGACCUAAUACCGGAUAAUAUAUUGAACCCCAUGGUUCAAUAGUGAAAGACGGUUUUGCUGUCACUUAUAGAUGGAUCCGCGCCGCCUUAGCUAGUUGGUAAGGUAACGGCUUACCAAGGCAACGAUGCGUAGCCGACCUGAGAGGGUGAUCGGCCACACUGGAACUGAGACACGGUCAAGACUACUACGGGAGGCAGCAGUAGGGAAUCGUCCGCAAUGGGCGAAAGCUUGACGGAGCAACGCCGCGUGAGUGAUGAAGGUCUUCGGAUCGUAAAACUCUGUUAUGAGGGAAGAACAAAUGUGUAAGUAACUAUGCACGUCUUGACGGUACCUAAUCAGAAAGCCACGGCUAACUACGUG
rnacentral:rRNA from 1 species